CCAGCGUCCAUAGGAAAGCAUUAUGAAUGCUUUCCUAUGUGACCGGCUGAAUGCGCGCGCAGCUCUUGCCGCGCGUGCGCAUACAGCCGACGGGGAGGAGAAGAGGAGGAUCGGAGUAGGAGAGCUCUCCGCCCAGCGCUGGAAAAAGGUAAGUUUUACCCCUUUUCCCCUUUCCAGAGCCGGGCGGGAGGGGGUCCCUGAGGGUGGGGGCACCCUCAGGGAACUAUAGUGCCAGGAAAACGAGUAUGUUUUCCUGGC